rnacentral:lncRNA from 1 species
UCUCUCGGAAAGUUUUUCUCCCUUGAAAACCCUAGCCACGGCCGUCCUACAACUCCGUAGCCACCAUGACUUCCCCGCAAGCUACCGCAUCCGCCAUCACGACCACUGCGGCCACCACCACCAAUCCGCCUGUCAACUCCACCACCACAACAAAAAAGAGUAAGCAUCUUUCUUUAGUAGGAGCCAAAAUUGCGUGAGAAAAAAAAAAUGAUGGAUUCAACUUUUUUCUAAGACAGAGGAGAUGCUUUCUUAAUGGCCAAGAAUGUCCUUUUUGGAAACAACACCCACACAAAAAAAAAAAUGUACAUAACACACGGCCAAGUCUCGCACAAUUUCUAAUUCAUUCUUUACUUUACAAUACUUUUGUACAUAACAAUGAUAUUAGAGUUAUACAAUAACAUUAUUCUAGAAUCCGGUCAAAGUUGGUGCAUCAAUGGAUAAUACUUAACGAGUAAUUGGUCUGCAAUUCACUAAUUAGUGAGGUUAUAAUAUACUUAUCCCACAUCAGAAAUUGAGGAGGCUAAAUGCCAUAUGUGAAGACAAACAUUGGCCAUUGAAUAAGUUUUUGGGUGACAAUGUCAAAUAACAAUUGCAGGUUUUAUAAUCCGCAAUUAUCUUUUGAUUUAAGAUUGAUAAAAUUAUAUGUAAAAUUGAAAAUCUGUUCAGUAUUUCGUUUAAUGUGCUUUAACAUUCACCCCAUACUCGAAAUUUUGCUCAAAUUCUCUGACUAACAUGGUUUUGCUAUCCGCAAUAGCAAUGGUAGGUUGUCCAAGUAGAAUUGCUCCGGUGAUAGAGAUGUGUAUCUGGUGAUCCGAAGGUUUCGGGUUCGAAUCCAACACACCCCAUAUAAUGGACAUAUAUUAUGUUUACUUUAUUUUUUCUAUCUUGUAUUGAUCGAGAGUCUCGGUCCCUACCCCGAAAAGAAAAUAGCAAUGGCAAGUUUUGCAAUGAUAUGUGACAGGCGCGUGGAUGUAAAUGAAUGGAUAUAAAUGACGAAUUACUUGUUGUCAAAUUGAAGUCACCUCCACACACACACAAAAAAACAUUUGAAGUUCAUUUAGUUAUUUAUUUACCAGCUAGAAGAUCAUGAG